UACGUAUGGGGCAAGCGUUAUCCGGAUUUACUGGGUGUAAAGGGAGCGCAGGCGGCCUGGCAAGCCUGAUGUGAAAUACCGGGGCCCAACCCCGGGGCUGCAUUGGGAACUGCCAGGCUGGAGUGCCGGAGAGGCAGGCGGAACUCCUAGUGUAGCGGUGAAAUGCGUAGAUAUUAGGAGGAACACCAGUGGCGAAGGCGGCCUGCUGGACGGUGACUGACGCUGAGGCUCGAAAGCGUGGGGAGCAAACAGG
rnacentral:rRNA from 1 species